ensembl:lncRNA
AUGGACACACGGAAGACGGCAAAAAAGAGAAACUUCUCUGACGUGGAGAUUGAGACGAUCAUCAGGGAGGUAGAAAGAAAUACAAUUGUUUCAUUUGGCAGUUUAAAAAGCGGAAUAAAAGAUGAUGAUGUGAUGGGCCAUGAAAUUGCACAUAGGUCACCUGAAGUGUAUACCUGGAUCAAAUGGAACACUUUAAAAACAAGAUAAGGCCUCCAGACAAACACAGCAAUCAAUGAUUCAGCAAAAAGGAUGUCACGAUUGGCGUAGUGGUGGAGAGGAAGGAACCAGGCGCAGGCAGAGUGGCAGUCCAUGUUGUGAUUUUAAUUGAAAAGAACACCGAGCACUGAAACACACAAAACAUAAACAAAAGGGCUGGCUAUGCAGCAAAACGACACUCACCCCGGCCGAGAACAAACCUAGACACAACUAUGACCAACAAAUGAGGGGAACAGAGGAGCAACAUUGAAACACAUACUAAUGACUGAAUUGGGACCUGGUGUGAGUGAUAAUCAAAGACAAGACACAUGACAAGUCCGGGAUUUGUUCGUGGAUGAAAAGAAAAGCGGGAAAAGCGGGAGAUGACAGUGCCUCACAAAUAUCCUCCACUUCAAUGCCUCCACAAAUUCCAUUAAUAAUCUGCCAUUUCCAGAAAUAAUAGUCAUUUACAACAUUAACAAUGUCUACACUGUAUUUCUGAUACAUCUGAUGGUAUUAUAAUGGAUGAAAAAAAGUAUUUUCUUUAAAAAAUUUAAGUGGCCACCACUAUACCCCACAUUAGUUAAUAAGAAUGUUAAACUAUCAUUAUCAAGCCCUACCUUACUAAUGACACUUAACCCACUGUAAUCUUAUUAACAAACUGGAUAAGUUUAUGAAUAGUUUAUAUUACUUAGCCAAUUAUUCAAGCAAACAACGAGCUACAUGAAUGAAUGUCCAAUAUCAACAUUAAGAAGUUACGGUACAAACUGUGCUCCACCAAUAAACAACAUGAUUUUAUGUACUGUGUCAACCUGAUCAAAUGACAGUACACACUGUUAGUUGUAAGUGACGUAAGUAAUGAUUCACAAAUGCAUUCUAGUUUGUUUAUCAUCCGUUCAUGUUAACUAUCGUAUUCAUUAAUGCUAGAGUUUAAGCACCCUUAUCGGAAUGUGUUACCCAGGGGUUGAAUACUAAUCCAAGCAUUUCAGAUUUUUGUUGUUCUUACAAAUAUUUUCUAACAUGAAACCAAUACCAUCUUGCAAUCAUCGAUUUUGAAUGUCAGGAACUGAAAAAUGAAACUUCAAAACAAUACCAUUAUAAUUUAAUUAAAUUAAAGAAUUGUUCAGGGUUUGGAAUACAUUUCAAAUGCACCGCAAAAUAUGCAUUGAAAAGCAAAAGUGAGGGGGUGUAUCUGUGGUAUGCACAGUGAAUGAUGCAGCACAUACUCAUUCAGAGGGUGUUUUUAAGAUGCGGUUUUCACAGAGAAUCUUAAGUAACAAAGAGUCAGUAACACUCAAUAUGCAGGUAAUGAUCAUGCCAUUUAUAUCACCAGAGAUGAGACAGGCUGUAGAGGUGUGUGUACACUGUUAAGUUUGUGUACAAACACUUGAUGAAAACUGAUGAUGAUGCUGCGGAUGUGAAGACAGCAGCUAUCAGCGAGCCCUUGUAACUGCAAAUACACAUUUCAAUUUACCAGACAAACAUGAAUAAAUUGUACAUUUUAUUAAAAGGAAUAUUUUCUGCCUCUGUGUUCCACUUGGGAGAUAAAGUAAUGAUAGUAAACCUUUGGGCGAAAGUAAGUUGGGUUAUGACUAUAGAGCCCCACCCCAGGGCUACACUAAGUAUAAUCCAAUCAGACAUUAAGAAUACGUUCUGAGAGGGGAUAUGGAAGACUAGCUGUAAUUCAUACUUAUUUUAUAUUCCUUAGGAUGGAUCCAAAGACUAUUCACAGAAACCCAUUAUGAACCCCAGCACCAGGU